rnacentral:rRNA from 1 species
AAAGGAAUUGACGGGGGCCCGCACAAGCGGCGGAGCAUGUUGCUUAAUUCGACGCAACGCGAAGAACCUUACCAAGGUUUGACAUACACUGGACGCGCCCGGAGACGGGUGUUCCCUUUUGGGCUGGUGUACAGGUGGUGCAUGGCUGUCGUCAGCUCGUGUCGUGAGAUGUUGGGUUAAGUCCCGCAACGAGCGCAACCCUUGUUCCAUGUUGCCAGCGGCGGCUUUGGCCGGCCGGGGACUCAUGGGAGACUGCCGGGGUCAACUCGGAGGAAGGUGGGGAUGACGUCAAGUCAUCAUGCCCCUUAUGUCUUGGGCUGCAAACAUGCUACAAUGGUCGGUACAGAGGGCUGCUAACCUGUGAGGGGGAGCGAAUCCCUAAAAGCCGGUCUCAGUUCGGAUUGGGGUCUGCAACUCGACCCCAUGAAGUCGGAGUCGCUAGUAAUCGCAGAUCAGCAAUGCUGCGGUGAAUACGUUCCCGGGCCUUGUACACACCGCCCGU